UGCCUUAGUAGCGGCGAGUGAAGCGGCAAAAGCUCAAAUUUGAAAUCUGGCACUUUCAGUGUCCGAGUUGUAAUUUGAAGAAGGUAUCUUUGGGUCUGGCUCUUGUCUAUGUUUCUUGGAACAGAACGUCACAGAGGGUGAGAAUCCCGUGCGAUGAGAUGUCCCAGACCUAUGUAAAGUUCCUUCGAAGAGUCGAGUUGUUUGGGAAUGCAGCUCUAAGUGGGUGGUAAAUUCCAUCUAAAGCUAAAUAUUGGCGAGAGACCGAUAGCGAACAAGUACAGUGAUGGAAAGAUGAAAAGAACUUUGAAAAGAGAGUGAAAAAGUACGUGAAAUUGUUGAAAGGGAAGGGCUUGAGAUCAGACUUGGUAUUUUGUAUGUACUCUCUCGGGGGU
rnacentral:rRNA from 1 species